GACGUAGGGGGCAAGCGUUGUCCGGAAUUAUUGGGCGUAAAGAGCUCGUAGGCGGCCUGUUGCGUCCGCUGUGAAAUCCCGGGGCUUAACCCCGGGCGUGCAGUGGAUACGGGCUGGCUGGAGGCAGGCAGGGGAGAACGGAAUUCCCGGUGUAGCGGUGAAAUGCGCAGAUAUCGGGAGGAACACCGGUGGCGAAGGCGGUUCUCUGGGCCUGUACUGACGCUGAGGAGCGAAAGCGUGGGGAGCGAACAGG
rnacentral:rRNA from 1 species